rnacentral:lncRNA from 1 species
CCUGGGGGAGGGAGGAGAGAAGGGAAAGGGAGGUACUUAGGAAUGAAAUUGUUAUAUUGUUAUACUGUUAUACUGAUUGCUAUAGGAACAUAUAACGAUGAAUACCAUUACCAUGUGUCAUUAUAAUGCACUAAUAAAAAGAAAAAAAAUGCUAAAAUAAAAAAGUUAGCACACUAAAACGGCUAGCACCCCACUCCCAAGCUCUGCCCCUUGAAGUCAGGCAGGCUUUGGGCUUUGUUAUGUCUUUUUUUAUUAUUAUUAAUUUCUUCUAUUUAGUUAUAUAUGACAUUAGAAGUAUUUGACAUAUUGUACACAAAUGGAGCACAACUUCUCAUUCCUCUGGCUGUCCAUGGUGCAGAGUCACUCCAGUAGUGUAGUCAUACAUGUAUAUAGGGUAAUAAUGUCUGUCUCAAGCCACCGUCCUUCCCAUCCCACAGUCCCACCCCUACCCUCACUCCCCUCUGCACAAUCCAAAGUUCCUUCAUUUUCCCUCCCUCUCCCUGCCCCAUUAUGGAUCAGCAUCUGCUUGUCAAAGAAAACAUUUGGCCUUUGUUUUUGGGGAUUUGGCUUAUUCAUUAUGUCUUAUUCUCGCAGAAGAGUUGUCUAAAGAGUUGCCAAAUUAAGUGAUACAAUCUACAUGAAAGCACG